rnacentral:piRNA from 1 species
UGUUAGGAUGAUUGGAACUUUGGUUCU